rnacentral:rRNA from 1 species
AGAGUUUGAUCCUGGCUCAGAUUGAACGCUGGCGGCAGGCCUAACACAUGCAAGUCGAGCGGUAGCACAGAGAGCUUGCUCUCGGGUGACGAGCGGCGGACGGGUGAGUAAUGUCUGGGAAACUGCCUGAUGGAGGGGGAUAACUACUGGAAACGGUAGCUAAUACCGCAUAAUGUCGCAAGACCAAAGUGGGGGACCUUCGGGCCUCAUGCCAUCAGAUGUGCCCAGAUGGGAUUAGCUAGUAGGUGGGGUAAUGGCUCACCUAGGCGACGAUCCCUAGCUGGUCUGAGAGGAUGACCAGCCACACUGGAACUGAGACACGGCCCAGACUCCUACGGGAGGCAGCAGUAGGGAAUCUUCGGCAAUGGACGAAAGUCUGACCGAGCAACGCCGCGUGAGUGAAGAAGGCCUUCGGGUUGUAAAGUACUUUCAGCGAGGAGGAAGGCGUUAAGGUUAAUAACCUUGGCGAUUGACGUUACUCGCAGAAGAAGCACCGGCUAACUCCGUGCCAGCCGCCGCGGUAAUAC